GUCUACGGCCAUGCCACCCUGAACAAGCCUGAUGUCUGAUCUCGGAAGCUAAGCAGGGUUGGGCCUCGUUAGUACUUGGAUGGGAGACUACAUAGGAAGACCAGGUGCUAUAGGCA
rnacentral:rRNA from 1 species